rnacentral:siRNA from 1 species
AUGCCUCUAAUGGGUGGUAAGCCU